rnacentral:rRNA from 1 species
GAUGAACGCUAGCUACAGGCUUAACACAUGCAAGUCGAGGGGAAACGAUAUUGGAAGCUUGCUUCCGAUAGGCGUCGACCGGCGCACGGGUGAGUAACGCGUAUCCAACCUGCCCACCACUUGGGGAUAACCUUGCGAAAGUAAGACUAAUACCCAAUGAUAUCUCUAGAAGACAUCUGAAGGAGAUUAAAGAUUUAUCGGUGAUGGAUGGGGAUGCGUCUGAUUAGCUUGUUGGCGGGGUAACGGCCCACCAAGGCGACGAUCAGUAGGGGUUCUGGGAGGAAGGUCCCCCACAUUGGAACUGAGACACGGUCCAAACUCCUACGGGAGGCAGCAGUGAGGAAUAUUGGUCAAUGGACGAGAGUCUGAACCAGCCAAGUAGCGUGCAGGAUGACGGCCCUAUGGGUUGUAAACUGCUUUUAUAAGGGAAUAAAGUGAGCCUCGUGAGGCUUUUUGCAUGUACCUUAUGAAUAAGGACCGGCUAAUUCCGUGCCAGCCGCCACAGUAA